CUAGAAACACGGGCCAGGGAGCUUACUGUUAUGGCAAGCUUAAGCUCAAUCAGAGCGUAGGCGAAGGGAAACCAAGUUCCCGCAGUGAUAAACGAGGGGAAGCGUGUGAAAGUGCGUAGAGUCAUAGCGGCAAGGCUAGAAACCAGACGAUCUAUCCCUGAACAAGACGAAGUUGGGCGAAAGCCCGAUGGAGGUCUGAAGCAGUUCUAACGUGCAAUUUGUUUGUGUGAUGUGGGGAUAGGGGUCAAAAACCAAUCUAGUCUGGUGAUCGCUAGUUCCUAACGAAGUGUAUCGCAGUACAGACUCUGUGGAGACAGCGUGUCCUGUAGAGCACCGAUCGGGUAUGUCGGGUGAGAAAUCAUUCGCUACCCUUUCAAACUCCGAAGGGAUGUGCGUCGUAGAAGCAGGGAUACGGAUUUACGUGGCGUAAGGCUCGUAAUCAAGAGGGGGACAACCCAGACUUGAGGUUAAGGUCCCCAAAUUUUUGCUAAGUGUCAAACUGAAGGGCGUAUUAAGGCCAAGACAGCAGGGAGGUAAGCUCAGAAGCAGCUAUCCUUUAAAAAGUGCGUAACAGCUUACCUGCCGAGCCUUGAUGCCCCAAAAAUGGACGGGGCUAAAGCAAAGUACCGAUACCUCAGAUCUCCGUGCGUAACGCACGGUGCAUGGUAGUUAGGCGUGGGCGUUGGGUAGAAGUAGGGCUGUGAGGUCCUAUGGACCGGCGUCUAUUGCAGAUCCUGGCGGCAGUAACAGCAUAGUGGAGUGAGAAUCUCCACCAUCGUAAGCGUAAGGGUUUCCCGGCAAUGCGUCGUCAGCCGGGAGUUAGUCGAUCCUAAGUCUAACCUCAACAGAGUUAGAUGAAUGGGAAGCAGGUUAACAUUCCUGCACCUUACAGGAGACGUUAUAAUCUAGUCACUUGCUUUCGGAUAGGACAAGCAGAACCAUCGUUCUGUUUAACAGUUUGAGGGUUAGGGAGUGUCGUAAUGACGAGAACUCGCCCGAGGCUGGAAUGGCUUGGCGUUAGCUGAGUUUGUUCGACUCCAAGAGACCAUGAAAGGUGACGUAGUGAGAUUCCUGUAGGCUCGUACCGAGAUCCGACACAGGUGCGCUGGAUGAGAAGUCUAAGAUGUAUCGGGUAUACCGUAGGCGAGGGAACUCGGCAAACUAGUCCUGUACCUUUGGUAUAAGGGAUGCCUGCGGCGGUAGUGUAGAACUGCCAUCGUAGGUCGCAGUGACAAGGGGGUCCCGACUGUUUAAUAAAAACACAGGUGACUGCUAGGGAGAAAUCCUUUGUAUAGUCACUGAAUCCUGGCCAGUGCAGGUACCUAAAACUUGGGUUCAACUGAGCUAAGGGCCUGUAAACGCCGGGAGUAACUCUGACUCUCUUAAGGUAGCCAAAUGCCUUGUCGGGUAAGUUCCGACGUGCAUGAAUGGAACAACGAGGGCCCCGCUGUCCCCGCCUACAACCCGGUGAAGCCACAUAAGCUGGACGAACAGUCCAGCAUCUUCCAUCGGGGAGAGAAGACCCCGUGGAGUUUUACUGCAGCUUGUGCUUGCGGUAUGGUGGAAAUUGCAUAGAGUAACUGGUAGCCAUGCUAAUGCCUUUUCGGGGGCAUUGGAAGCAAAAGUGUAACACCAGUCAUUUUCCUUCGUACUGCUUACCCCAUUGAUUUGGGGGACAGGUGCAGGUGGGCAGUUCGGCUGGGGCGGCACCCCUUCGAAAAGAUAUCGAAGGGGCCCAAAGUUCAGUUCAAACGGGUCAGAAAUCCGUUGAAGAGGGCAAGGCCACAAACUGGACUGACUGGAUCUCCAAACGCACGGGAUUCAGAGAAGAAAUUCGGGCCUAGCGAUCCAUGACGUCCCCACUAUUGGGGGCUCGUGGUGACAGAAAAAUUACCCCAGGGAUAACAGGCUCGUCGCGGGCGAGAGCUCCUAUCGACCCCGCGGUUUGGUACCUCGAUGUCGGCUUUUCCCAUCCUGGCCCUGCAGCAGGGGCCAAGGGUGAGGCUGCUCGCCUAUUAAAGGGGAACAUGAGCUGGGUUUAGACCGUCGUGAGACAGGU
rnacentral:rRNA from 1 species